rnacentral:rRNA from 1 species
UACGAAGGGGGCUAGCGUUGUUCGGAAUUACUGGGCGUAAAGCGCACGUAGGCGGAUCGAUCAGUCAGGGGUGAAAUCCCAGGGCUCAACCCUGGAACUGCCUUUGAUACUGUCGAUCUGGAGUAUGGAAGAGGUGAGUGGAAUUCCGAGUGUAGAGGUGAAAUUCGUAGAUAUUCGGAGGAACACCAGUGGCGAAGGCGGCUCACUGGUCCAAUACUGACGCUGAGGUGCGAAAGCGUGGGGAGCAAACAGG